rnacentral:misc_RNA from 1 species
AAGUCGUAACAAGGUUUCCGUAGGUGAACCUGCGGAAGGAUCAUUAUUGAAUAACUUUGGCGUUGGUUGUAGCUGGCUUCUCGAAGCAUUGUGCACACCCGUCAUUUUUAUCUUUCCACCUGUGCACCAAAUGUAGAUCUGGAUAACUCUCGCUUUCCCAAGCGGAAUUGAGGAUUGCUGCGUCUAACGGCCGGCUUUCCUUAAAUUUCCAGGUCUAUGUCUUUUACACACCCCAAUUGUAUGAUAACGAAUGUAGUCAAUGGGCUUCAUGCCUAUAAAACAAGAUACAACUUUCAGCAACGGAUCUCUUGGUUCUC